CGACUCCACGAAGUUGGAUUCGCUAGUAAUCGCGCAUCAGCCAUGGCGCGGUGAAUACGUUCCCGGGCCUUGUACACACCGCCCGUCAAGCCAUGGGAGCCGGGGGGCGCCUGAAGUCCGGGACCGCGAGGACCGGCCUAGGGCGAAACUGGUGACUGGGGCUAAGUCGUAACAAGGUAAC
rnacentral:rRNA from 1 species